AUGGAUUUAUUUGCCAGACUUUGAGGGUAAAAUAAAAUGAAGUGCACAUAAACAAUAAUUAUGAAUAUUGUACCCACAUAUGAUUGUAAUAUUGUUUCCACGACUUGAAAUUUCUAGAUUUGCCACUCAACACAGAAUCUGUCUAAGGCAGGAUUUACUGAUAUAUUAUUUUUCGGGGUGUUUAACAAUCAUUAACCAACAGCCAGUGUGGUUAACUAUUAUUAGAUACUGAUAGGUUUUGCAAUUUUCUUCUUACAUAAGAAUAGAAACGCAACGUGGAGAAGAACUGUAAAUUGAAGCAAAAGAACAACCAAAAGUCUGCAUCAUGAUUUAUUAUAACUUUGUGAAGGAUUCGGGAAUCAAGUAAAGCUGUGCCCAAAAAUAUCAAGACUUUAAGCAAAAAUUUUAGAAAAAUCUAAUCAAAAGGAAAUUAAAGCAUCAUUCACAAAAUUUUUGUCAUUAUUGAUAAUUUUUGUUGUUAAUAAUUGUAGCACUAAAAUUUUACUGAUAAUUUUUAAAAAAUUAUAUACAGAUUGCUCUGUCACUAUUAUUGUGUUUUUUAUAGUUAAAAUACAAGUCAUUUUUUAUAUAACAAAAAGUUAUUAAAAAAUUACGAAAAUUUAUAUAAUUAGUUGUUAAUUUUCGUUUGCUCUCCUAAUUUUUCUUAUUCAUGUUAAACCUUCUGGAAAUACCUUCUGUAGCAUCAUCUAACGAUGCAGUGAUAUUAUUCCGUACCGUAACUCCUCAAUGAAGAAAUUAUUCAAGUGCCUCUAGAAAUUAGAGACUUGUCAAACUUAAAACGCGCCUUGGAAGCAUCUUGUCAAUUACUGUGUAUUCUUUUUCUCAUAUAUUAGAUUAGUCAGGCCAUGUAAUCAGUAAGGCAAUAAUAGCCUUAAAUCUAGAGUAUAUUAACUUGUUUACACUGAGAUGUGGCAUCAAUUGUCUUGUGAUAGUUGUGAUAGAGGUUCAGGUUCAUGAUUUGAGUUUUUCUUCGAUCAGCAGGCACAAAAUUUCAACAGGCCGGCCGACCCCUUCAUUAAGUUGUUGGCAUUAUUUUCUAUGGGAGAUUUCAUUGAAAACUCAAAUAAUUAAAAGUAUCAUUGACUCCCAUGCAUUCGUGACUAUAAAUUUCGGUGACUACGAAGCAACCUGGUAUAUUAAUUUGGUUUCAGCUAGUCUUCAAUAUACACUUGGACAUGGCUCAAACCAAUCUUUGUUCUAUAUCUGUACCUUUUCUUAUUCUAUUAAUGAUCGCCUUUAAUUUCAGUGCACAGAUUACUCCAGUUAGUGCAGAUCUGAAAAUGAGAAAAUUGGGUCUCAUGCCAAGUCCACCUCCUCCACCCCAGCCUGGCAAACCACAACAUCCUCGUCAUCCUCCUCGGCAAGAUGGUCCCUAACUGUGUGUUACUUGAUCCCUGCAACAUUACAAAAAAUCAUUUGAGGCUGAUCAAGUUUUAAUUCAUACUCAUUUUCUUUAUAUAAAUAGCUUUACAUUAUUUGGUUUAUGUCCAAAUAACACUAUCUGUCUAAAGGCAGGAUAUAUUGAAUAUUUUAUUCAAAGCGUGUAUGCAUGUGCAAUUAGAUUUGGAGAAAUUAAAAGCUUUUUUAUGGAUUAUUUUAUUAA